rnacentral:tRNA from 1 species
GCCUCUAUAUCAUAGUGGUAGUGCGUUUGUUUCGUAAGUAAAAGGUCGUGAGUUCAAUCCUCACUAGGGGCU